rnacentral:tRNA from 1 species
UCCUUCUUAGUUCAGUUGGUGUUUUUUAUUGGGAAGAUUAGCGGACUGUUAAUUCACAUGUCACUGGUUCAAGUCCAGUAGAGUGAA